UCUACAUGUCUUUUAAAGUCAUUUAAAUGUCAUUAAUGUAUAUAUUUUAGAUUCGGCGACGUGGAAGAAGAUGUUGACGGAAAUGUAAAAAUAUAGUUUCUUGUGUAUAUUUUUGUGAAAUAAAAUUAAAGAUGCAAAAUGUUAUUCUCAACGAGCUUGCAGGAAUAAAAGUUCUUUUAAAAGAAGUUAUAGAAAUUAAGUUUCAGGCUACUGGGGUGAAGUUGCUAGAACCAGUAGAUGAAGUGGUUACACUGGAUAAUAAACUAAAAGAUAAAACCGACUUGAUAGUUUGAAAAAGAUUGGUGGUGGAAAGCCUAGAGAACAUGUUUUUUUGAUCAUGAAAAGGUUAUUUUCGAAUCAGUUACAGUCCAAAUUUAAUCGAAAAGGAAAUGAGGAAAAGACAAGCUUAGAAAAUAUAGUAAAUAUAUAAAGUGUUUUACGAGAUAUCGGCGACGUGGAAGAAAAUGUUGACGGCAAUGCAGAAAUAUAGUUUCUUAUGUAUAUUUUUGUGAAACAAAAAUUAAGUAAUGUUAGUUAAAA
rnacentral:misc_RNA from 1 species